GAUGAACGCUGGCGGCGUGCCUAAUACAUGCAAGUCGAGCGAACAGACGAGGAGCUUGCUCCUCUGACGUUAGCGGCGGACGGGUGAGUAACACGUGGAUAACCUACCUAUAAGACUGGGAUAACUUCGGGAAACCGGAGCUAAUACCGGAUAAUAUAUUGAACCGCAUGGUUCAAUAGUGAAAGACGGUUUUGCUGUCACUUAUAGAUGGAUCCGCGCCGCAUUAGCUAGUUGGUAAGGUAACGGCUUACCAAGGCAACGAUGCGUAGCCGACCUGAGAGGGGGACUCGGCCACCCUGGACCUGGGCCCCGUCCCAGCCCCCCAGGGGGGGCACAGUUGGGAAUUUUUCCCAAUGGGGCGAAAGCCUACGGGGCAAACGCCGCGUGGGUAAGGAAGGUCUUCGGUUCGUAAACCUCUUUUUUUGGGGAAAAAAAAAUUUGUAAGUAACUAUGCCCGUCUUGCCGGUCCCUAAGCAAAAAGCCCCGGCUAACUCCUU
rnacentral:rRNA from 1 species